rnacentral:lncRNA from 1 species
GUUUGUGUAAUGUGAGUGGAGCUGUUGGCCCCAUUCCUCACUCUUCUCUGGUCGUGUUAGACAUCCACACCCCUGCCACGGCCUCACGGUCAGGAGAGAGCUGUUCUUCAGCCCUUGACUUUGGACUUGACCAAUGGGAUGGGAGCUGACGAGACAUGAGUCUUGAAAAGUCCUUGUGUGGUUGGUCUCGUGCUCUCUUCUCCAUGACCCGCCGUGAGAGGAGCGUGCCUUGGUUAACUGCCGCCCCUUCAGCCUUCCCGAAUGAGGGAAGUGGAACAGACUGGACAGGACCUGCAGCUUGUAGCUCGCAGCAGAGCCACCCACUGAGCCCAGUCGAGAUCAGCAGAACCCCACCCAGCUCUCAGAUCCGUGAGCGUGAGAAUGAGUGAUCCCUCUUUUCAGUUUGGGGUGGUUUGUUAGGCAGCGUUCUUGUGGGAAUGGCAUAUCCAUGUUCCUCCGUGCCUUAUCAUUUGCCAAUCUCUCAUGAAGGUCUUUCUAUAUCAGCAAAUAGAGAGAGAUCUCAUUCUUUAAAAAUAUCGAUGUAGAAUGUUUGGAUGUAUCUUCAUUUAUUCAAUAUUUUGCUCUCACAAUUCUGCAGUGAAUAACCUUGCACAUAUAUCAUUUUGCGCAAGUCCAAACAUCUCUGCAGGAUAAACUCCCAGAAGGGGAAUCGCUGUGUCGAGGAUUAUCUGCAUUCGUAAUUUUGAUAGAUGUCAUCAGAUUCCACGCCACAGGAACACCCCCGCCGACAGCGCCCGCGGAUUUCCCCGCAGCCUCACAGACAAAGCGUGUUAUUAACCUGUAGGAUUUUUGCCAACCUGAUGGGGGAAAAUGAUUGUCUUUUUCUUAUUGAUUUCCUCAACACAUAUUUGCUGAACAAAUGGCUGAGUGAAAUCAGGUGAAUUUAAACAAGGGGCUCUGAAUACCGUGGUUUAACCUCCCAGAGAGAGCCUGGCGGAAGCCAGGAUAGAUUUGGCACGGCUGUGGCGGUCCACCGCGUUCUUUGAUAGAGAGUCCGGGAUCUCACGUUUCGGUGCCACUCCUGACCGACGCUCCCCAGGAGGCUGAGCUAAUGAGGCCCAGGUGAGCAGGCUGCUGGAGCAAAGGGCAGAGAUUGUCCAGAGGGCUGUGUCGGUUCUUAACGGGACGCACAGAGGGAGUGGAGCAGAGCAGGACCACAUGCUCCCCAGGUCCCAGAAGACUUUCUCCAUUCUCUGAGAUGGGCGGUU